UACGUAGGGACCAAGCGUUGUUCGGAUUUACUGGGCGUAAAGGGCGCGUAGGCGGCUUAACAAGUCACUUGUGAAAUCUCCGGGCUUAACUCGGAACGGCCAAGUGAAACUGUCAAGCUAGAGUGCAGAAGGGGCAAUCGGAAUUCUUGGUGUAGCGGUGAAAUGCGUAGAUAUCAAGAGGAACACCUGAGGUGGAGACGGGUUGCUGGGCUGACACUGACGCUGAGGCGCGAAAGCCAGGGGAGCAAACGGG
rnacentral:rRNA from 1 species